UUUACUUCUCUUUCAAGAAAUUAGAACGUCGAUACACACCCACGUCUCUUUUUCCUAUCAACUAAAAACCAGAUCUGCGAUUUGGAUGGAUGCUCCUCGGAUCCCUGUGACCUCGUCGGACAGUAGGUCGCUCUCCCAUCCCCUCUUUUUUCUCGGCGUCUGUUCUCCAUUGUCGAACUAAUCUAGAUUUUGGUGAUUCUCGGAGUCAAUUUAACGGAGGCAGGUGUUGCUACUUCCUUAAUCCAGUCGGCAGUCGCCGGUUUGUGACUUCCCUCAUAUUUGUGAAUGAUUAAUGUAUAUAAACUCGUGUGGUAUGCAUGUAAUAAUUAAACCUUGACACUAUACAAUUCUAUUGUCUGUCGUGCAGCAUAUUACACUUUAAUGUCCUAUAAUUGAAUAGUUUUAAGUAUUUUCAUUGUAAAUGGGAAUCUACGAAUCUCACAAACGAUGGCAAUGACAGGUCACCACUGGACAUUUGCGGCCAAUGAAUAUUGUCAGUUGUCACACUUGCUGAGAACGAGCCGUUACUGCAUUUUAAAACAAAACUAGAUUCUGACCGUUUUUAAAAGGCGAGUAUAUUUUUUGUUUUACAUUUUUUUUUAAAAUUUAAUUUUUAUAUUUAUGUUU